GGUUCAUUGUCUAGUGCUUGGAUUGAUGGUGUCAGUGCUCCACCCACAUAGGGGUGGAGCCAGGAUGUGAUGUAAUGGCAGGAAGAAGGUGUGUCUUGCUCUUUGCUGGUUCCUGUUUGCUGUUUGCAGCCGCCAUGACCUGCAGCCCUGCCAUCCCUGCCUGCCUUGGAGCCAACUGCGUGUGGACUGAAACCUCCAAAAACUCUAUGAUGGUUGCUCCUUUGCCACACCACACUGCCUUGGAACCAGCUGAGUAUGGACUGAAACCUCCAAAAACUAGUGGCUGCCCUUUGAACACAAAGAAGAAAACACAGCAUUACCAAAGAAAACCCUGUUAGGAAUGGGGAAGAAAUGAUCAAAAUUCACCAGUGAGCAGAUGUUACGGGAUUCGAAACUCCAAAAUAAGCAACCAGGGAGGAUUCAACCAAUGAAGAAUAAUUUCUUAAAAUGGACAGUGAUGGUGGUACACUCAGAUUGAGGCAGAUGUAAACAAAGUAAUGUGCUAACUAAACACUAUAAAAAUAAAAGAAAAUAAGAAUACAAUUUAAAACAUAUUUUUAAUUUAUUCACAUAAUCAAUAGGCAAAUCAAAUCUUAUAAUUAAUCUCUUCAGCUUUCCACUUAUAAAAGGUAAGACUUUGACAAGAGUGGUAGUGAAAGAAAAGAGAGUAAGACCUAAUACAGAACACACUGUAUGGUGGAUUCUGUGUUAGAUACGGGACGAUGAAAUCGCUGGGACUGGUAUUAAAAGAAGGAUGGUACCGUCUCUCCCGGAUGAUCCAUGUUAAUUUUUCUUUUUUCAUCUACUUGUCAGCUGUAACAGAAGAGUUCAAUAAGCUCACCAACCUUAUGAGCUUUGGUUUCCAGUCUUCAGAAAAAUAAACCCCUACCACAUUAAGCUCUUAUGAAUGAACUUUCUUUCUUCUCUGCUUGUGUCGCUUUACUUCCAAAUGAAAAGCAAGAUCCAUAAGCAGUUAUGAAAGAACAUGGUUGGUCUAGAAACAGUCAAUUAAAGUAAACAGAUAGGAUGGACCUUUAUCUGCCUCACAUAUCACCCAAGUCCUGACUACAUUUCACGUUAGUUUAUGUUUCGUCAUUCAAAUCAAUCUUCAACAAAGACAUAAAUAGGAUCCUUCACCACGAUCAAGUGGGAUUUACUCUUGGGAUGCAAGAACACACACAAAUUAAUAAAUGUGAUGACUAUAUUACCAGAAUGAAAGAUAAAAAGCAUAUGAUCAUUUCAAGAGAUGAAGAAAAAGCAUUUGACAAAACUAACAUCCUUUCAUGAGAACUCUCAAUAGAUUCGGAACAGAGGGACUGCACCUUGAUACCACAAAGGCCACACAGGACAAGCCCACAGCUAACAUCAUACUCAAUGGUAAAAACUGUUAAGAUUUUCCUUUAGGAUGAAAGACAAGGAUGUCACUCUUACCACCUCUUUUCAUUACUGUACAGAAGUUAUAAGGAGAACAAUCAGGUAAUAGAAAUAAACAAUAGGUAUUUUUAUAGAAUGCAUGAAGUGAAAUUUUCUUUGUUUGCAAAAUGGUCUUAUCUAUUGAAAACCCUAAGGAUUCUACCACAAAAACUGUAUAAUUGACAGAUGAGUCCAAUAAUGUGGCAGGAUACAAAAGCAACAUCCAAAAACCAGUAACAUUUCUUGUUAACAAUAAACUAAAAAGAAAAUCAAGGAAAACAAUCUCAUUUAUAGCUGCAUCAAAAAAUAAAAUACUUGUGAAUAAACGUUGGGAAGGAAGAAAGAGACCUGUACACUGAAAACUGAGACACUGAAGCAAGAAACGGAAGAACACACAAAUAAGUGGAAAGAUACCUGGUGUUCAUGGAUUGGAAGAAUGAACACCACUGACGUUGUGUAUUACUCAAAGUAAUACAGAUUCAAUGAAAUCCCUUUCAAAAUUCCAGUGUCAUUUUUCAUAUGACCUCAAAUAGCCAAGACAGUGUUGAG